CAAAGAAUUUUCAAGUAUUUCUUAAGAAAAGCUUCUGAGAGAAAGGGAGUUGAGGAGAGGGUGAUUACUAGAGGAAAAGGGCUAGGGGAGCCAUCUAGUUCAGGAAAAGGAAAGGAAAAAGAACCAGGAGGAGAGGAUCAUUUUUAUUUGAUGUAGAUAGUAUGCUACUGAUGUAGCUAUUGUAUAUAUGACUUAUUUUGGAGUAUGUAUGAUGUAUUAAACAUUA